rnacentral:rRNA from 1 species
AGAGAAGCUUGCUUCUCUGCUGACGAGCGGCGGACGGGUGAGUAAUACUUGGGAAUUUGCCUUUAGGCGGGGGACAACCACUGGAAACGGUGGCUAAUACCGCAUAAUGUCUACGGACCAAAGUGGGGGACCUUCGGGCCUCACACCUAAGAUGAGCCCAAGCGGGAUUAGCUAGUUGGUGAGGUAAAGGCUCACCAGGGCGACGAUCCCUAGCUGUUCUGAAGGAUGAUCAGCCCACUGGGACUGAGACACGGCCCAACUCCUACGGGAGGCACAGUGGGGAUUUGCCAAUGGGCGCACCCUGAUGCACCAUGCCGCGGUGUGAGAAGGCUUCGGGUUGAAAGCACUUUCGUGGUGAGGAAAGGGUAAUC